rnacentral:rRNA from 1 species
ACGGAAGGCAGCAGUGGGGAAUAUUGCACAAUGGGGGAAACCCUGAUGCAGCGACGCCGCGUGAGUGAAGAAGUAUUUCGGUAUGUAAAGCUCUAUCAGCAGGGAAGAAAAUGACGGUACCUGACUAAGAAGCCCCGGCUAACUACGUGCCAGCAGCCGCGGUAAUACGUAGGGGGCAAGCGUUAUCCGGAUUUACUGGGUGUAAAGGGAGCGUAGACGGCUUUGCAAGUCUGAUGUGAAAGGCAGGGGCUCAACUCCUGGACUGCAUUGGAAACUGUAGGGCCGGAGUGUCGGAGAGGUAAGCGGAAUUCCUAGUGUAGCGGUGAAAUGCGUAGAUAUUAGGAGGAACACCAGUGGCGAAGGCGGCUUACUGGACGAUAACUGACGUUGAGGCUCGAAAGCGUGGGGAGCAAACAGGAUUAGAUACCCUGGUA